GGCAGUACCCCCCACCCGACGCCACUCUCGGACUCUCCAGUCUCCACAGUACACUCUCGGUCUCGGCCUCUCCACCCGGCCCUCGCAGAGUCGACGGGCCAGCAGACGCAGACCCUGUCUGUUCUACCCCCCCAGUCUCCACUCGCACUGACAGACGGCAACCCAUUUCUCGACUUCUCUCGCUCGGCGACGGCAAUCGGCACGACGGCACCCAUUUCCCCUCAUUCCCCAUUUCCCCCAAACCCUGUUCGGCGACGGCAAUCGGCACGCAUUUUGUUCUCACCUCUCAGUUCUCGGCUUCUCGCGCUCAAUUGUCGUUUGUGAUACUUCUUAUGGGAGGAAUUCAGUUCUGGCUCUUUGCUCUGAUAUUCCUAGUUUUCUUGCCGCACAUUUUGAAAGGAAGCAUGCUAGUUGGUCGGCCUUUAAACUUCAAACACUACAUAUGGGUGGCUGCAAGGUGAGUUUUGAUUUACAUAAUAGUCACCGGCUAAUAAACGAGUCAAUCCGAACCCGUUUAACCCGACCCAUUUAUGACCCGCUUGAAUCCGACCCAUUAACCUGUUUUGCCACCCCUGCUGAGCCCUAUUCUCUAUUUGGACUAUCAACUAGUCAGGAGGCCAUUGCAGAAUCCUGGCUUCAUCACUGCAUGACGGUCCUCAAAGGCACAGCAUGAGCACUUGGGUCCUCAUGGAACAGCAGAAGUGUUUGUAUAUUAGAGGAGUUGAUGCCCUUAUAUUUUCAUAUUUGGGUUAGGCGGCAAGAGCCUGUGACAGAUGCUUUCCAAUACUGUUGCAGCUACUAGGCUACCAAGCAUUUGUAAGUUCACGUUGUUGUUCUGUUCCAACAAUAAGUACAUCCCUUGUGGUGCACACAAAUUGUUCACUGAAAUUUGUGAAAGAAAUGUGUUUCAAGUGUUUGACUCAUUAUCAAAGGGUUUUGUGCUUAACGAUUUAUUUGCAAAGAAGAGCUAUCACAGAGAACGGGAAAACCUUUUUGUUAGUGGAACUUCAAAGCAUGGCAAUGCCUACGAAGGAUUAGAGAACUUUUGCCGAAUGAUCGCCUCUGGGAAAAAACCUGCAAAGUUCAUUCUAUGUAGUGCUCUUAAUUCUUGCACCAAAUCCCUAAAUUGGCAUCUAGGCUUGCAAAUUCAUGCUUGUAUAAUUCAAAACGGUUACGAGGAGAAUUUGUAUUUAAGCAGUGCGCUUGUUGAUUUUUAUGCAAAACAUGAUGCACUUGUCAAUGCAAGAACAGUGUUUGAUGGUCUGAAAAGUCAUGAUCAAGUUUCAUGGACCUCGUUCAUAUCUGGGUUCUCGCAAAAUGGACAUGGAAGGGAAGCUGUUUUGUUGUUUAAAGAGAUGCUGUGUACUCAAAUUAGGCCCAACUGCUUCACCUAUGUUAGUGUUAUUAGUGCAUGCACGGGGCUACAAGCAACAUUGGAACAGGUUUUAUUGCUCCACACACAUGUUAUUGUUCUUGGUCUCCAAAAUAACAAUUUUGUCGUAAGCUCUCUGAUUGAUUGUUAUUCAAAAUAUGGGAGAAUAGAUCAAGCUGUACUGCUGUUUGAUGCAACAACAGACAGAGAUAAUAUUAUACUCAAUUCUAUGAUUUCGGGAUAUUCACAUAACCUGUGCAGUGAAGAGGCAUUGAAACUAUUUAUGGAAAUGAAGAGUGCUGGAUUGAGUUCAACUAGUCAUACGUUAACAAGCCUCUUGAAUGCUUGUGGAAGCCUAACAGCAUUGCGACAAGGAAGACAGGUGCACUCUAUUGUCAUUAAAAUGGGUUCAGAUGGCAACGUGUUUGUGGCCAGUGCCUUGAUAGAUAUGUACUCAAAGUGUGGCAGCAUUAAUGAAGCUUGGCUUGUUUUUUAUCAGACAUCACAGAAGAACAGUGUGUUGUGGACUUCAAUGAUCAUGGGGUAUGCACGAAGUGGGAAAGGGUCAGAUGCAUUGCGACUAUUUGAACAUUUGGUGACUGAAGAAGGGUUUAUACCAGAUCAUAUUUGCUAUACGGCUGUACUAACUGCCUGCAAUCAUGCUGGAUAUCUUGACAGAGGGAUAAAAUAUUUUAACCAAAUGAAAAUGAAGUAUGGGUUGGUUCCCCAAAUAGAUCAAUAUGCGUCCUUGAUUGACCUUUAUGCUAGAAAUGGGCAUCUAAGAAAAGCAAAGGAGUUGAUGGAGGAAAUGCCCUAUGAUCCAAAUUUUGUAAUGUGGAGUUCCUUCUUGAGUUCUUGCAGGGUUUAUGGUGAAGUAGAGCUUGGAAAGGAGGCUGCAGAUCAGCUUUUUAACAUGAAGUCAUCUAAUGCUGCUCCAUAUGUGACAAUGGCAAAUCUUUAUGCAGAAGCUGGUUUAUGGGACAAUGUGGCUACGAUUUGGCGAUCAAUGAAACAGAAGGGGAUAAGGAAAAGUGCAGGAUGGAGUUGGGUUGAGGUAGACAAUAGAGUUAAUAUUUUCUCAGCAGGUGAUGCAUCUAACCCUCAAUCACAAGAUAUAUAUGCAGAGUUGGAAAAUCUGAAUUUGGAAAUGAUGGCGGUUGGGUGUAUGCCCAAAGGGACAAAUGAUUUGGAGACUAUUGAUGAUGAAUGCUUGGGGACAGAUGGUUGAUUGAUGUUCGAGCAAUAUUUACUUGUCAGGCAUGGAAGAGGAAGAAAAAUUUCAUCACUGACACUCACAGAAGCAGCUGAGUUACUGGUUCUGACUCUUAAGUCUGAAUGCAUUAACGGUUCUCAUAUCCCAACCAUAUCUAUAUUUGAAACCAUUUGAGCAUGGAAGAGUAAGAGUUACUUGAUCACUAGCACUUGCAGAAGCAACUGAGUUCCUGGUUCUGACUCGUGAGUAUUAGUUGUGGUCCUUGUAUUGCAGCCAUUCAGAUUUGAAAUCAAUUUCAGGUGCUCUCAGUUGCAAGAAAAAAAAAUGACGUGAACAAGGUUUGUUUUCAAUAGGUGGCUUUUAAUUCUCUUAGAUGGAACAUAUCCUUAUUUCUCAGAUUUACUCUCUCUUGAUCAUUAUACCAAAUUUGUUUUGGGUAUUGGUUCUCGAAUCUGCUUUUUGGGAAGACAUUUGGUUGGGUGAUAUUGCGAUUUUCAUCUCUUCUGGUAAUCUCUAUUUUCUUUCCUCGGUGCAUAUGAUUCCAUUUAUUCCUUUUUGAUCCCUAAUAAUGAUAUUACUAUGGGGAUUUCCAUUUUCUUAAAUUUCUUUAUAAUAGGGAAGUGGAGGAGCUCUCUUGCUGAUUCUGAUUGGCCCUCACACCUUCCAUUCACAUCUUAAAAUCAUAGCCCCUCUAUUAUUGACUUUAUUUCUUGUUAUAUCUUGCUGUUAUCCAACUAUUGUCAUGGCAAAAUUUUUGGUAGGAUGUGAAAAUAUGAGAUAUUAAUUGAUUAUUGAAACCCCAUGGAUGCCUAUAGGUAAUAGAAUUGCGUUUGUAAGAUGAGGAAUUAUAUGCACAGCACAAUGCUAAAAUUGUUUGAAAGAAAAAUAAGUUAAAUUUUAUUUUGUUGUAGUUUUAUGGUUAUUUUUAUGGAUUAUUGUUGUUAGCAAAGGAGGCUACCUGUGAAUUGAGUGUCUACCUGUGGAACACUUAGCACAGCUACCCCCUGCCACUUUUCUUCUUUCUUUAGGACACUAGUGUUGAAAAAAGAAUUCAAAAGCUUAACAAGUUCUAUUUUUACAAGUUUUAUUUGUUUCAUUUAUUUCCUUAAUUUAUUUGGGCAUUGCAAUUGUAUCCUCUAUUUAGGGUAUUUGGACUUUGUAGAAGAAAAAAAAUCAUAUUUUUUGUUCUUUUAGUUUAUUAGACCAACAAUAAUAACAGGCAAAGUGGUUGUAAAGUUUAGCUUUUGCAAGAGUGGAAAUUGUCUGCAAUUUUUGCUUUUACAAGUGUACAAUUUUUUUAGGACAAAAAAAAAGAAAUUAAAAAUUUGAAAACUUUAUGAGAAAGAAUUUUGAAUCUUUAGAAAGAAACAUCACUGAAUCUUGAGAAGGAUUUAUGUGCCCCAGGGGUAUGUGCACCGAUCCAAUAAAAUGAUGCUAGAUAAGAAACGCGAGUCCACGCAGGCUUAUGUGGAUUGUUUAAUUGGAUGGACCUUAGGGGCACAUAAUUUUUUUCCAUGAAUUUUGGUUUUUUAUAACUUGAGAAUUUCAAAAUAAAAAUUCAGUAUACUGUUUUCUUUCUUGGAGUUCAAUAGUUUACAUCUUAUUUUUUCGCUAUACCUUGGAUUUGAUUAGUCGACCCAAUUGCAGGAGUGGCUUUUUUUUAUUUGUAUGGUUUCCUUUUUUGUAAUUGUUGAUCAUUGAUUGUCAGAUUUGGUAAACAAGUGUUGUGGCGCCAGAUUGUGAAGAAGAAAAAACAGUUGGGGAAGGCCAUACUAUUUGUGGAUUUGUCGUGUACAGGUUGGAAAAAGGUCGCAUGGGAUGAAUUCGACACUAAGGCCGGCGUUAAGGUUAGAAUAAUUCAAACGUCACACGAAAGAUCAAAGGCGGGAACAGUGACUGUGAACGACGCGAUUGUAUAAGGCGAGAAGCGGCAGGUGGGUUUUUAAUAUUAGAAGCUGGAUCUGGAUCUGGAUCCGGGUGGGAACAGAGAUGACGCCCGCAAACCCAGGAUUAGUCACAAGUCAAGACAGGUCCUUCUUCUAUUAUUGUUAUAGUUAUUUCUUUUUUAAAAGUAAAUAAUGGGGGAGGCCAGGCCUGCUCAUGCUCCUACUCCAACUCCAUCGAUAGUAGAUUCUCUCUUUUGUACCAGUAUAAAAUAGAGAAUCGUUGUCUAUAUAUUAGAGAAAGAUGUUCGAGUAAAAAAAUUAAAUAUGGAUACUCUCACUUGAAUAUUGUCCGUCGUAUUCGCUCCUAUAACUGUGUUUUGUAAUUUUGCAUCACAGUAAAGUUGUUCAAAAAAUUAUUGAUUAUUCA